rnacentral:rRNA from 1 species
UACGAAGGGGGCUAGCGUUGCUCGGAAUUACUGGGCGUAAAGGGCGCGUAGGCGGAUGAUUAAGUUGGGGGUGAAAGCCCGGGGCUCAACCUCGGAACUGCCUUCAAAACUGGUCAUCUUGAGUUCGGGAGAGGUGUGUGGAACUCCGGAGUGUAGAGGUGAAAUUCGUAGAUAUUCGGAAGAACACCAGUGGCGAAGGCGACAUACUGGCUCAUUACUGACGCUGAGGCUCGAAAGCGUGGGGAGCAAACAGG